rnacentral:rRNA from 1 species
GACGAACGCUGGCGGCGUGCCUAAUACAUGCAAGUCGAGCGGGGAUUAUGCUUGAUCGCUUCGGUGAGACGGCAUAUAUCCUAGCGGCGGACGGGUGAGUAACGCGUGGGUAAUCUACCUCGUAGUUCGGGAUAACAGGCCGAAAGGCUUGCUAAUACCGGAUGAGUUCAUGCUUAUGCAUAUAGGCAUGAAGAAAGGGCUAGCCCGCUAUGAGAUGAGCCCGCGUCCCAUUAGCUUGUUGGUGGGGUAAUGGCCUACCAAGGCAACGAUGGGUAGCCGGCCUGAGAGGGUGUACGGCCACACUGGGACUGAGACACGGCCCAGACUCCUACGGGGGCAGCAGUAGGGAAUUUUCGGCAAUGGGCGAAAGCCUGACCGAGCGACGCCGCGUGAGGGACGAAGGCCUUCGGGUUGUAAACCUCUGUCUGGGGGAUGAGAACGGACGGUACCCCGGAGGAAGCCCCGGCUAACUACGUG